CUUUUCCAUGAAGGUCCCCAAUUGGGCAGUGCCCUGAAAUCACUUCUAAUGCUGAUGCUAGGCAACACCUCAGACCUACUGCUCAGACCCUCCAGGGGCAGGGCCCAGGAUUGAAGAGGGAAGCCCUGCUCCACACGUGUUCAUCAGGAAGGACCCACAGACUGCUGCUCCUGGAGGCCUCUCGGUUUAUGGAUGUGUGUUUGUUCCAUAAACCCUCAGAGGGUCACCUGGAGACCCGCUAAAAUGCAGGUUCUUGGGCCACAUCCUAGACCUUCUGACCGACCCAGGGAGUGGGGCCCAGGAAGCUGCAUUUGACAGAUAUCCCCGUGUGAUCAUCAUGCACACAGGAGUGAGAGAACCAGUGUUCUCCCCGGGCAGAAGGGAAGCUCGUGUGCAGGACACCUCACACCUCCUUUCCCAUUCCCCUGCCAGGCUCUCCCUGCUGACAUUGUUUUUGCGGGAGAGCUGUGAAUUCUGAAGAUUAGGUUGCUUCUCACCCCAAGCUCCAGAAGUCCAGGCUGAGCCAAACCAAGCUUCAAGUUGUGAGUAUUUUGAAUAAUGAGCCCUUGCUCAUUAACUGAUCCUGUACUGAAAUAGCCCUUGCUGUCCAUGCUGUACCCCGGUGGUUCUCAGGCCGGGCUGCACGUUAGAAUCACCUGUGUGGGUGGGGGGUGUCCAGGAGGGGGAUGGUGAGGGAGGUUUAAAAAUACCCAGAGAUUCUGAUUCCACUGGCCUGUGCAGGGGCCCGGACAUAGUAUUUUGAACUCCCAAGAUGCUUCUAAUGUGCAGCCAGCGUUGAGAACAUUUGCUGUAACUAUGAAGAGAAUAUUUCAUGUAAGGUGCCUGGACUUGGAGAACCAGGAGGUGAGGGGACUGACUACUUGAAGAUCACAUGGAGGAGGAGUCUGAUCCAGGCCCAGGCACCAAGGAAAGGCCAUGCAAGGACACAGGGAGAAGGGCAGCUGUCUGUAAGCCAGAAAGAGCCUUCACUAGAAACCAAAUCAGCCAGAACCUUCAUCUUGGACUUUCCAGCCUUCAGAGAUGUGAAAAAAUAAAUUUCUGUUGAUUAACCUA